rnacentral:rRNA from 1 species
UCAUCUUCGGGGGUAGAGCACUGUUUCGGCUAGGGGGUCAUCCCGACUUACCAACCCGAUGCAAACUGCGAAUACCGAAGAAUGUUAUCACGGGAGACACACGGCGGGUGCUAACGUCCGUCGUGAAGAGGGAAACAACCCAGACCGCCAGCUAAGGUCCCAAAGUCAUGGUUAAGUGGGAAACGAUGUGGGAAGGCACAGACAGCCAGGAUGUUGGCUUAGAAGCAGCCAUCAUUUAAAGAAAGCGUAAUAGCUCACUGGUCGAGUCGGCCUGCGCGGAAGAUGUAACGGGGCUAAACCAUGCACCGAAGCUGCGGCAGCGACACUAUGUGUUGUUGGGUAGGGGAGCGUUCUGUAAGCCGUUGAAGGUGUGCUGUGAGGCAUGCUGGAGGUAUCAGAAGUGCGAAUGCUGACAUAAGUAACGAUAAUGCGGGUGAAAAACCCGCACGCCGGAAGACCAAGGGUUCCUGUCCAACGUUAAUCGGGGCAGGGUGAGUCGACCCCUAAGGCGAGGCCGAAAGGCGUAGUCGAUGGGAAACAGGUUAAUAUUCCUGUACUUGGUGUUACUGCGAAGGGGGGACGGAGAAGGCUAUGUUAGCCGGGCGACGGUUGUCCCGGUUUAAGCAUGUAGGCGGAGGUUCCAGGUAAAUCCGGUACCUUUUUAACGCUGAGGUGUGAUGACGAGGCACUACGGUGCUGAAGUAACAAAUGCCCUGCUUCCAGGAAAAGCCUCUAAGCAUCAGGUAACACGAAAUCGUACCCCAAACCGACACAGGUGGUCAGGUAGAGAAUACCAAGGCGCUUGAGAGAACUCGGGUGAAGGAACUAGGCAAAAUGGUGCCGUAACUUCGGGAGAAGGCACGCUGAUAUGUAGGUGAAGUGAUUUACUCAUGGAGCUGAAAUCAGUCGAAGAUACCAGCUGGCUGCAACUGUUUAUUAAAAACACAGCACUGUGCAAACACGAAAGUGGACGUAUACGGUGUGACGCCUGCCCGGUGCCGGAAGGUUAAUUGAUGGGGUUAUCCGUAAGGAGAAGCUCUUGAUCGAAGCCCCGGUAAACGGCGGCCGUAACUAUAACGGUCCUAAGGUAGCGAAAUUCCUUGUCGGGUAAGUUCCGACCUGCACGAAUGGCGUAAUGAUGGCCAGGCUGUCUCCACCCGAGACUCAGUGAAAUUGAACUCGCUGUGAAGAUGCAGUGUACCCGCGGCAAGACGGAAAGACCCCGUGAACCUUUACUAUAGCUUGACACUGAACACUGGUCCUUGAUGUGUAGGAUAGGUGGGAGGCUUUGAAGUGUGGACGCCAGUCUGCAUGGAGCCAUCCUUGAAAUACCACCCUUUAAUGGCU